CUGCCCAAGAGACUGGGAUAACACCUGGAAACAGAUGCUAAUACCGGAUAACAACACUAGACGCAUGUCUAGAGUUUGAAAGAUGGUUCUGCUAUCACUCUUGGAUGGACCUGCGGUGCAUUAGCUAGUUGGUAAGGUAACGGCUUACCAAGGCAAUGAUGCAUAGCCGAGUUGAGAGACUGAUCGGCCACAUUGGGACUGAGACACGGCCCAAACUCCUACGGGAGGCAGCAGUAGGGAAUCUUCCACAAUGGACGAAAGUCUGAUGGAGCAACGCCGCGUGAGUGAAGAAGGGUUUCGGCUCGUAAAGCUCUGUUGGUAGUGAAGAAAGAUAGAGGUAGUAACUGGCCUUUAUUUGACGGUAAUUACUUAGAAAGUCACGGCUAACUACGUGCCAGCAGCCGCGGUAAUACGUAGGUGGCAAGCGUUGUCCGGAUUUAUUGGGCGUAAAGCGAGUGCAGGCGGUUCAAUAAGUCUGAUGUGAAAGCCUUCGGCUCAACCGGGGAAUUGCAUCAGAAACUGUUGAACUUGAGUGCAGAAGAGGAGAGUGGAACUCCAUGUGUAGCGGUGGAAUGCGUAGAUAUAUGGAAGAACACCAGUGGCGAAGGCGGCUCUCUGGUCUGCAACUGACGCUGAGGCUCGAAAGCAUGGGUAGCGAACAGGAUUAGAUACCCUGGUAGUCCAUGCCGUAAAC
rnacentral:rRNA from 1 species